GACAAGGCCAACUUAGCAUCACUGCUGCUGAGAACCCCACUCCAGGUAUUUAUUGAGUUAGGGAAGCAAUCUCACCAGCGGAUGAUUGAGCGAAUUUGGUUGCUAUUGCAGUCUCUUGCUCUUGCAGGUUGCAGCUCCUGACUUGUUUACAGGCUCGUGCACAGUAAGCCAAAGUGGAUGAUAACGUGUUAUUGAUGAAGACCCCAGUAUCUG